GCAUUGCGCCGCGACUGGCUGGUACGCGCGUCGCUCCUCUAGCGAUGACCAUUGCUAUGACCAGCUUAGUGGACAAUGUCGGGCGACGUGCCCUACCGGAGAGUACACCGUCGGCGAUUGCGCCAGUGGAAGAGAAUGCUGCAAAGAAAAGGAACAUAUCAGACAUGGCUGACCUGGCCAGGGAAAUUCCUCGUAUGUUGUAAAACUUACUUGGCGAAUAAAAUCUGAUUCUGAUUCUGA